UGCCGCGUGAGUGAUGAAGGCCUUAGGGUCGUAAAGCUCUUUCGCCUGUGAAGAUAAUGACUGUACCAGGUAAAGAAACCCCGGCUAACUCCGUGCCAGCAGCCGCGGUAAUACGGAGGGGGUUAGCGUUGUUCGGAAUUACUGGGCGUAAAGCGCGCGUAAGCGGACUGGAAAGUAGGGGGUGAAAUCCCAGGGCUCAACCCUGGAACUGCCUCCAAAACUCUCAAUCUAGAGUUCGAGAGAGGUGAGUGGAAUUCCGAGUGUAGAGGUGAAAUUCGUAUAUAUUCGGAGGAACACCAGUGGCGAAGGCGGCUCACUGGCUCGAUACUGACGCUGAGGUGCGAAAGCGUGGGGAGCAAACAGGAUUAAAUACCCUGGUAGUCCACACCGUAAACGAUGAAGGCCAGUCGUCGGAUAGCAUGCUAUUCGGUGACACACCUAACG
rnacentral:rRNA from 1 species